UACGUAGGGUGCAAGCGUUGUCCGGAAUUAUUGGGCGUAAAGAGCUCGUAGGCGGCUUGGUAAGUCAGGUGUGAAACCUCCAGGCUCAACCUGGAGACGCCACUUGAUACUGCCAUAGCUAGAGUCCGGUAGGGGAGCGUGGAAUUUCUGGUGUAGCGGUGAAAUGCGCAGAUAUCAGAAGGAACACCAGCGGCGAAGGCGGCGCUCUGGGCCGGAACUGACGCUGAGGAGCGAAAGCGUGGGUAGCAAACAGG
rnacentral:rRNA from 1 species